UACGUAGGUGGCAAGCGUUGUUCGGAAUUAUUGGGCGUAAAGGGCGCGUAGGCGGUUUGUUAAGUCGGUUGUGAAAGCCCGGGGCUCAACCCCGGAGGGUCGACCGAUACUGGCAGGCUAGAGUACAGAAGAGGUAGCUGGAAUUCCUGGUGUAGCGGUGAAAUGCGCAGAUAUCAGGAGGAACACCGGUGGCGAAGGCGGGUCUCUGGGCCGAUACUGACGCUGAGGAGCGAAAGCGUGGGGAGCGAACAGG
rnacentral:rRNA from 1 species